UCGGCUAAUGUGUGGUCUCAGGUUUUGAAAAUAGGCCGACAAUCGACCGACAACUCGUGUACUGUGCGCUGGACAUUACACUAAGGAAAUGAGGAAGGGAGGGUCAGUGGAGAGCACCGGAGUUGAGCCUUUUUUCAUUCAGUGUCAUCAAGAGAA